UGAGGAAUAUUGGUCAAUGGCCGGAAGGCUGAACCAGCCAUCCCGCGUGCAGGAUGACGGCCCUAUGGGUUGUAAACUGCUUUUGUCCCUGAAGAAACCUGUUUACGAGUAGACAGUUGCCGGUAAGGUAUGAAUAAGCAUCGGCUAACUCCGUGCCAGCAGCCGCGGUAAUACGGAGGAUGCAAGCGUUAUCCGGAUUCAUUGGGUUUAAAGGGUGCGCAGGUGGGAAAAUAAGUCAGUGGUGAAAUACUGCCGCUUAACGGUAGAAUUGCCAUUGAUACUGUUUUUCUUGAGUAUGGUUGAGGUAGGUGGAAUGUGUUGUGUAGCGGUGAAAUGCAUAGAUAUGACACAGAACGCCGAUUGCGAAGGCAGCUUACUAAGCCAUUACUGACGCUGAUGCACGAAAGCGUGGGGAUCGAACA
rnacentral:rRNA from 1 species